ACGGUUCGCUAAAAAAGAAAUACGCAUCUGCCUCCUCGCCUCGACCCUGGCCUGUGCAAAAUUCCCCAGCCACCACCGCGCCACUCGCCGCCGCGGCCGACCUCAACCCGCCUGCCGCGGCCGCACCUCUUCCCGCUCGCCGCCCCCGUCGCGGCGCUCGGGCGCAGCUUUUGGAUCUGGUCAACGCAGUAGCUCGAGCGGCCAGGGACGACGCGUCUGCUCGAUGCAGAACAACGGCGUCGGGAUCUAGCGGGCGGGGGAGAAGGAGGGAUCCGGCACGGUGACGCGAAGUCCCUCCGCCGCUGCUGUCGUCGAGGAAGCAAGGAAGCAGGCCGACGACGUAGUGGUGCAGUAUGUGGUGCUGCGGCGCGACCUGGCGGACGCGUGGCCGCUGGGGAGCAUGGUGGCGCAGGGGUGCAUGCCGUCUGGGCGCACCGUCAGCCAGCAUGAGCGCGGCGGCCUCCACGCCGGAUGCAGCUCCAUCUCCCGCCGCCACCGCCGCUGUCGUCGAGGAAGCGAGGAAGGAGGCCGAGGACGUGGUGGUGCAGUACGUGGUGCUGCGGCGCAACCUGGCGGAUGCAUGGCCGCAGGGGAGCGUGGUGGCGCAGGGGUGACAUGCCGCCGUGGCCGCCUUCUGGGCGCACCGCGACCACCCGGACACUGUCGCCUACUGCGCGCCCGGUAACCUCGACAGCAUGCACAACACAUGUUCGAGCUUUUGCCCUUUUGCCCAACACAAGUUGUUUACAGUUCUCUCCUCCUAACCUCAGAAUCUGCAUUGCGCCUCUGAUAAAGUAAGUUUGCAUCGCACCUCCUUUGGAAAAUUACAAUCAUUUGCAUAACUGCAUUAUGUUUUUUCGGCGGAAGUCUGCUGGCUGGUCAGUUCAUGAAGCCAUUCAUUCAUUUGCACUGUGAUAGGGGCUGUGGUAGCUUUGGCAUCAUAUAAUGUAUUGUGUUCUUGGCCCAGUUUGGAGCUGUUUCUUGUGACUUGAACAUAUAAACUAGAAAGCCACGAAUGCCAUGAACAAGGAGAUUGUUUUGCGAUGUCUUGAAAAUUGGAAAACCUCUUGGUACAAUUUCUUUAUCUGAGAAGAUGUUUGGAGGACGACGAGCACGGCGAGGCGGCGGCGGUAGAGGACGAGGCCAAGGCCAGCGCGCAGGACAAGAUGCAGCGUGGCGUGGUCACGAGCUUGUCCCACAAGAACGCCCAUCUCCUAAAGGCUCGUGACGACCUUUGCCUUUUCCUUCUCCCCUUCGAGCUGUCUCUUUUUCGUCAAAUUACAUGGGGAAUCAUUGUCGAUCUUGUCACGUGAUCUGACCGAAUUUUCUUAUCUGACAUUUUUUCAGAUGUGGCAACCUUGGGCGAUUGGUUCAUUGGAUUCUUCAAACCGAUGCCUUUUUGAACACGCAAGGUGCCCUCAUGAUUUAUUUCAAGAUGCUAUUUGAGCUAAUGCAGAAGCGUGAUGUGUUGCCAAUCCUUGUGUCGUUGGUAUCUUCAUGCCGAUCGCAAGAAGUUAGUCUCCUAUUUUAUGGUAAUAUUAUGAUUUUUUUUAUGCAAUUCCAGAUGCUAGACAAGGAACGUGUGUAGGCUGAGGAUUCUAAGGUAGCCACCUUGUUUUCCUCACAUGGGGAUAUUGAUGUAUGAUGCGGAAGCAGGAAGUGUUGUCCAUGGCCUUUUGAUUGACACAAAAGUUGUUCAAUACUGCAGUAGGGACAUGCCUGAUUCACACAAUUCCAAUGAUUGCCUUUUGAAAGUUCCGUUCCUGUAGUAUUUGAGUUUAUGUCUACACUUACAUGAAGAGCAUCAGGUAUUUGUAAACCAUUAUUUUGCUUAGAAAGGUUCCUACAAAAAAAGAAUACACUUAAGAAAGCAGAGCCGUUUGUGUGCUUCAUAUAAGCUAUAUACAUGCCAUCUCACCAAGCACUGCUAACAUGUUCUUUUUUCAAGGGAGCAUAUAUGUUUCUUUUUUUGUCACCAUGUCUUCACGGGCGCCCGUCACCCACACGCUCCUCACUUCCUAGGUACAUAUUCUUCCUGCAUGUACCUCAGUGCAUGAUUUUCCUAAUCAGAUAAAAGGAUAAGAACUGUACAUGGCGCCAUUCACUGGAAAUGCCUUCUCUUACACCUUGUGGUUAGUUUUUCAGUUCUGCACAUCAAGCACUAUCAAAGUUUAUCCUAAUUACGCCAACGGCCUCCCUAAUGAAAGACUUAGCCAUUUGUAAUUGAUCUGGUGUAAUUUACUACUUUAUUGUUGGAUAUGAAGUUGUUUUGCUAUAAAUACCUCACAUUCAGUAUGCAAUGUGCCACUAGAACUAUACGACAUCACAGAACAUGAAGUACUCCCUGCUAGGCACAACCAUACACUCUGUUAUUCUGAAUAUUUUGAUUUGGUCACAGAGAUUUGUUAUUUUAGUGAUCUAUUUAUUCGAUUUCAUAAUUAUGGUUUCUCUUACUAAUACUGCCAUAAGAUAAGAUUGUAAACUAAAUCUGACUGUCGUGUCAUAUUUUUAUCAUCUAAUUACUAAUUAAACUGACAGUAAGACAUUUUAUAAUCUUUUGUAGAUGCUGCAGACUUUGCAAGUGUUCAGAGAAAUGAUGUGCUAAUUAAGGGGUUUAGGAGCACUAAUAAAGAAUCCGUGUUGCUGAACUUUUUGUACCACUAAUGAGUAAAGUGAGUUCUUUAUAGUUCGCUUCAAUUUAUUGUAGGAAGAUAUCGGAUGCAAAAGCCCAAUUCGGUGCAGCCAUCAUUUGUUUGUCGAUGAAUUUAUUUGUUUGUUGAAAUAGAGGACGUUGAAUUGUGA